rnacentral:snRNA from 1 species
UCGCUUCCGCAGCUCGUGCACUGAAAUUGGAACGAUGCGGAGAUUAGCAUGGCCCCCAUGGAGGGAUGACAUUCAAAUUCAUGAAGCAUUCCAUGUUAAA